GAAGCCUCAACAAUUGAGGAGAAAGGAAACUGUGGACAUUAAGAUUCAGUGUGUCUGACAUCAUUGAAGCCUCAACAAAUGAGGAGAAAGGAAACUGUGGACAUUAAGAUUCAGUGUGUCUGACAUCAUUGAAGCCUCAACAAAUGAGGAGAAAGGAAACUGUUCACGAGUAUCACAACCUGAAAACAAAUCAAACUAUGUUGGGGCAAUACAGUUGAUUCUUGGUCAACAAUCUUCCACUUAAAACCUCGCGACAUCAACACCAUUCAAAGUUAUUUCAUUCUUCAUCGUAAGUUCCUUUUUUCCCCCCCACGACAAACAAUUUGUUCAUUCGUUUAAAGCUACUUAGUACAUGACAAGUUAUCCUGCAUUCUGGUCAACAUGAAAUACACUUCCAGACCAAGCAGGCUAUUACACCUUUUAAUAUAGGACUAGCCUUGUUUUGUCCAGUGAACUUAAAUAUUUGUACAAAACCAGUCGACAAUAAUACACAUAGUAAAAUGCAUGUGGCUAAAAAAAAAUGAUUAAAAAAAAUUUAUUCCACAUAAAAUUAGCAUGACAUGAUUCAAAAUCCAUUUUGAUGUUUUUUUGUUUUACUAAAACAAGACAUUGUUAUAGAAAAAUAUGCAAAGAUACAAAAAUAAUAUGCUUAUAACAAAAGCACAAAGACAAUGAUUAUGUACAUUCGAGGUCUGCAUUGGAAUAUGUUGUGUAUAUUCUUAUGUACAGCAUGAGAUUUAGCAUAAAGAAUUUCUUUCUGACUAGCUGUCCAGACAUCAGCUGUGUAGAAUGAAAUGAAAGAUGUCUUCCAGUCCUGCAGCAUUGCUAUCAACUUAACUCUAAGAGCUCAACACAGGUACACAAACACUUAAUAUAUAUACAUCAAUACAUAUACAAUUGGCUUUGUUGUAUAGAUUUUAUAUAUAAUAUAUAUAUAUAUAUAUCUCCACUUCACACUAAUUUGUUUUGUUGAAAUAGUUACCACUUUUUACAUAUAAUCUUUGCUUUGAAAUAAAAAACAAACAUGUACAAUGACAUUUUAAUUCCUCAAAAAAAUAAUAACAAUGACUUAUUUCUUUUUGAUCAACAUCAACAGGUUCAGAAACAGGUUUGUCAGACACCAUCACACAAUAUCUUUGGUCAAGGGACACAGAUUAUAGGUUCACAUGAACAUAAGCUGCUUGCACCAAUGAUUCAGUAUAUCUUACAUGCAUGCAAGUUCUUGAACAAAUUCACUCACAUCUACUAGAAUGUAGAAUUACACCAUUAGCAUAUUUUGUUUUUUCCUUUGAUGUACUGGUACACCUUUUAUUUUUAAAGACAAGGCAUAAAUCGAAAUGACAAACAAAGUGUAUUGCUUUAAGCUAUGCCAUUAUCAGUCUGCCAGAAAGUUCUUACAAUACAAGAAUGUGCCUUUGUUUGCCAAGCUAGAAAUUAUUGCAGCAAACAAACUUUUUAAAAACCUGGUUGCCCAUUAACCCAAUCAUUGAUGAUGUCUCCAAAGCAUUAAGGCCAUGACUCUAUACCAUGGGAACAUGCACAACACAACCAGUAUUAAAGCAUUAGUACAAAGUAGCAUCAAUAAGAACAAAGCAUAAUUGGUAGUUACAAAUGAUAGAACUCUUUCACAGAAGGAGGUCUUUAAAGGAAACAUGAACACAUUAUUCAACACAUUAGGAAGGAGGCAGAGACCAGAAAAACAAAAACAAAAAAACCCAACACAAACGCUUUUAGUUUGCUGCUAGAGACAUAGUGUCAUGCUCAAAAUGAGUGCCCUGCACAAGAGCUACCUUAGCUAAACCCUCUUGUAAUAACCGUAGUUUUUAUUGCGCUGAACAAUUUCACAUUACAAAAAAUGAGUUGGCGGAGAGAAAUAGAGUGGCUACAUCCUCUUAGCAACAAACACAAGUCCACAGAUCAACAUGAAAUGGUGAAUGAAAUACAGAAUGAAAUCUAUAAAAAUGAGGAUGCAAGUGUCUAUAUUGUAAGUUGACAAGAUAUUUACAAUUGAUUCAUAAAUAGAGACAUUUAUUAGUGCAAAUAAAUAGUGAUUGGUUUUUUUCUUUACCCAUAAAAGUUUAGUAUUCAUCUUUUUCUUUUUAAAUGCAGGCAUUACCAUAAUAAAAAAAAAAGUGAGUAAAUCCCUUUUCAAAGAUGGUGCCAUUCAUAUAAAUAAAAUCUUUCACUAUACAUACUCUACAUCAAACAACAUUUGGUUUUCAUAACGCCCCCCCCCCCCU